GACGAACGCUGGCGGCGUGCUUAGCACAUGCAAGUCGAACGGAAAGGCCCUGCUUUUGUGGGGUGCUCGAGUGGCGAACGGGUGAGUAACACGUGAGUAACCUGCCCUUGACUUUGGGAUAACUUCAGGAAACUGGGGCUAAUACCGGAUAGGAGCUCCUGCUGCAUGGUGGGGGUUGGAAAGUUUCGGCGGUUGGGGAUGGACUCGCGGCUUAUCAGCUUGUUGGUGGGGUAGUGGCUUACCAAGGCUUUGACGGGUAGCCGGCCUGAGAGGGUGACCGGCCACAUUGGGACUGAGAUACGGCCCAGACUCCUACGGGAGGCAGCAGUGGGGAAUAUUGCACAAUGGGCGGAAGCCUGAUGCAGCAACACCGCGUGCGGGAUGACGGCCUUCGGGUUGUAAACCGCUUUCGCCUGUGACGAAGCGUGAGUGACGGUAAUGGGUAAAGAAGCACCGGCUAACUACGUG
rnacentral:rRNA from 1 species